rnacentral:rRNA from 1 species
GUUGUAUAGUCAAGUAAUUAAGUGCAUGUGGUGGAUGCCUUGGCAGUCAGAGGCGAUGAAAGACGUGAUAGCCUGCGAAAAGCUCCGGGGAGGCGGCAAAUAUCCUUUGAUCCGGAGAUGUCUGAAUGGGGGAACCCACCUACUUUAAGGUAGGUAUUGCAACAUGAAUACAUAGUGUUGCAAGGCGAACGAGGGGAAGUGAAACAUCUCAGUACCCUUAGGAAAAGAAAUCAAUUGAGAUUCCCUCAGUAGCGGCGAGCGAACGGGGAUCAGCCCAUUAAGUUAUGUGUGUUUUAGUGGAACGCUCUGGGAAGUGCGAACGUAGAGGGUGAUAUUCCCGUACACGAAAGGGCACACAUAAUGAUGACGAGUAGGGCGAGGCACGUGAAACCUUGUCUGAAUAUGGGGGGACCAUCCUCCAAGGCUAAAUACUCCUGACUGACCGAUAGUGAACCAGUACCGUGAGGGAAAGGCGAAAAGAACCCCUGUGAGGGGAGUGAAAUAGAUCCUGAAACCGCAUGCAUACAAGCAGUGGGAGCACCUUCGUGGUGUGACUGCGUACCUUUUGUAUAAUGGGUCAGCGACUUAUAUUCAGUAGCGAGGUUAACCGUAUAGGGGAGCCGUAGAGAAAUCGAGUCUUAAUAGGGCGUUUAGUUGCUGGGUAUAGACCCGAAACCAGGCGAUCUAUCCAUGAGCAGGUUGAAGGUUGGGUAACACUAACUGGAGGACCGAACCCACUGUCGUUGAAAAGCCAGGGGAUGACUUGUGGAUAGGGGUGAAAGGCUAAUCAAGCCUGGUGAUAGCUGGUUCUCCCCGAAAGCUAUUUAGGUAGCGCCUCGGACGAAUACCAUAGGGGGUAGAGCACUGUUUCGGCUAGGGGGUCAUCCCGACUUACCAAACCGAUGCAAACUCCGAAUACCUAUGAGUACUAUCCGGGAGACAGACUGCGGGUGCUAACGUCCGUAGUCAAGAGGAAAACAAUCCAGACCGCCAGCUAAGGCCCCAAAAUCAUAGUUAAGUGGGAAACGAUGUGGGAAGGCAUAGACAGCUAGGAGGUUGGCUUAGAAGCAGCCACCCUUUAAAGAAAGCGUAAUAGCUCACUAGUCGAGUCGGCCUGCGCGGAAGAUGUAACGGGGCUAAAACUAUGUGCCGAAGCUGCGGAUNNNNNNAUGCUGGAGGUAUCAGAAGUGCGAAUGCUGACGUGAGUAACGACAAAACGGGUGAAAAACCCGUUCGCCGAAAGACCAAGGGUUCCAGUCCAACGUUAAUCGGGGCUGGGUGAGUCGACCCCUAAGGCGAGGCCGAAAGGCGUAGUCGAUGGGAAAAUGGUUAAUAUUCCAUUACUUCUGUGUAAUGCGAUGAGAGGACGGAGAAGGCUAAAUCAGCCUGGCGUUGGUUGUCCAGGUGAAAGGAUGUAGGCAUGUAUCUUAGGCAAAUCCGGGGUACUCUAUGCUGAGAUCUGAUAGCAAGCUGUACUUGUACAGCGAAGUGGUUGAUGCCAUGCUUCCAGGAAAAGUCUCUAAGCUUCAGUUACACAGGAAUCGUACCCGAAACCGACACAGGUGGUCAGGUCGAGUAGACCAAGGCGCUUGAGAGAACUCUGCUGAAGGAACUAGGCAAAAUGGUACCGUAACUUCGGGAGAAGGUACGCUGUUGUUGGUGAUGGAACUCGCUUCCUGAGCUGACGACAGCCGCAGAAACCAGGCCGCUGCAACUGUUUAUUAAAAACAUAGCACUCUGCAAACACGAAAGUGGACGUAUAGGGUGUGAUGCCUGCCCGGUGCUGGAAGGUUAAUUGAUGGGGUUAGCGUAAGCGAAGCUCUUGAUCGAAGCCCCAGUAAACGGCGGCCGUAACUAUAACGGUCCUAAGGUAGCGAAAUUCCUUGUCGGGUAAGUUCCGACCUGCACGAAUGGCAUAAUGAUGGCGGCGCUGUCUCCAGCAGAGGCUCAGUGAAAUCGAAAUCGCUGUGAAGAUGCAGUGUACCCGCGGCUAGACGGAAAGACCCCGUGAACCUUUACUGCAGCUUGACACUGAACUUUGACCUUACUUGUGUAGGAUAGGUGGGAGGCUUUGAAGCUGGAACGCUAGUUCCAGUGGAGCCGUCCUUGAAAUACCACCCUGGUAAUGUUGAGGUUCUAACUCUGUCCCGUGAUCCGGGACGAGGACCGUGUCUGGUGGGUAGUUUGACUGGGGCGGUCUCCUCCUAAAGAGUAACGGAGGAGUACGAAGGUGCGCUCAGCGUGGUCGGAAAUCACGCGUAGAGUAUAAAGGCAAAAGCGCGCUUAACUGCGAGACCCACAAGUCGAGCAGGUACGAAAGUAGGUCUUAGUGAUCCGGUGGUUCUGUAUGGAAGGGCCAUCGCUCAACGGAUAAAAGGUACUCUGGGGAUAACAGGCUGAUACCGCCCAAGAGUUCAUAUCGACGGCGGUGUUUGGCACCUCGAUGUCGGCUCAUCUCAUCCUGGGGCUGAAGCAGGUCCCAAGGGUAUGGCUGUUCGCCAUUUAAAGAGGUACGCGAGCUGGGUUUAGAACGUCGUGAGACAGUUCGGUCCCUAUCUACCGUGGGCGCUGGAAAUUUGAGAGGAUCUGCUCCUAGUACGAGAGGACCAGAGUGGACGAACCUCUGGUGUACCGGUUGUGACGCCAGUCGCAUCGCCGGGUAGCUAUGUUCGGAAGGGAUAACCGCUGAAAGCAUCUAAGCGGGAAGCCUACCUCAAGAUAAGAUUUCCCUAGGACUUUAUGUCCUCUAAAGAGCCGUUCGAGACUAGGACGUUGAUAGGUUGGAUGUGGAAGCAUAGUGAUAUGUGAAGCUGACCAAUACUAAUUGCUCGUGAGGCUUGACUAUACAACACCCAAGCAGUUG